rnacentral:rRNA from 1 species
UACGGGAGGCAGCAGUGGGGAAUAUUGCACAAUGGGCGCAAGCCUGAUGCAGCCAUGCCGCGUGUAUGAAGAAGGCCUUCGGGUUGUAAAGUACUUUCAGUCGUGAGGAAGGUGUUAAGGUUAAUAACCUUAGCAAUUGACGUUAGCGACAGAAGAAGCACCGGCUAACUCCGUGCCAGCAGCCGCGGUAAUACGGAGGGUGCGAGCGUUAAUCGGAAUUACUGGGCGUAAAGGGCACGCAGGCGGUUAAUAAGUUGGAUGUGAAUCCCCGGGCUUAACCUGGGAAUGGCAUUCAAGACUGGUUAGCUAGAGUCUUGUAGAGGGGGUAGAAUUCCAUGUGUAGCGGUGAAAUGCGUAGAGAUGUGGAGGAAUACCGGUGGCGAAGGCGGCCCCUGGGACAAAGACUGACGCUCAUGUGCGAAAGCGUGGGGAGCAAACAGGGAUUAGAUACC